rnacentral:rRNA from 1 species
UACGUAGGGUGCAAGCGUUGUCCGGAAUUAUUGGGCGUAAAGAGCUCGUAGGCGGUUCGUCGCGUCGGCUGUGAAAACCCGGAGCUUAACUCCGGGCCUGCAGUCGAUACGGGCGGACUGGAGUUCGGCAGGGGAGACUGGAAUUCCUGGUGUAGCGGUGAAAUGCGUAGAGAUCCGGAGGAACACCAAAGGCGAAGGCAGUGUCCUGGGGAGUACCUGACGCUCAGGUGCGAAAGCCAGGGGAGCGAACGGG